rnacentral:rRNA from 1 species
AUAAGUCCAUGAUUGUGAUAUUCCCCCGGGGCCUUCACCCUUGGGAACCUGCCAUUUGGAUACUUGCCCGGCCUAGAGUGAGGUGACGAGGCUAUGUCGAAUUUCCAAGGCGUACCCGGUGAAAUUGCGGUAGAGGUCCUGGAGGUAACAUCAGUGGCUGAUGCCGACCUACCUGGCACUACAUCUGACGCUGAGGUACGAAAGGCGUGGGGAGCUGAUCAGCGAUUAAGUCUACCCAUGGUAGUCCACGCCGUAAACGAUGAGGACUGGCCUGUCGGCGAUUUAGACGCGUCGGUAGCGAAGCUAACGCGUUAAGUUUCUCCGCCUGGGGAGUACGGCCGCAAGGCUGAAAUCUCAAUGGAAUUGACGGGGGCCCGCACAAGCGGUGGAGCAUGUGUUUUAUUUGGAUGCAACGCGAAGAACCUUACCAUCCCUUGACAUCUCUCAGAAUGAUCUGUAAUCGAUCAGUGCCUUCGGGAACUGAGUGACAGGUGCUGCACGGCUGUCGUCAGCUCGUGUCGUGAGAUGUUGGGUUAAGUCCCGCAACGAGCGCAACCCCUAUCUAUAGUUGCCAGCACGUAAUGGUGGGAACUCUAUAGAGACUGCCGGUGAUAAGCCGGAGGAAGGUGGGGACGACGUCAAGUCAUCAUGGCCCUUACGGGAUGGGCUACACACGUGCUACAAUGGUGCAUACAGAGGGUUGCCAACCUGCGAAGGGGAGCUAAUCUCAGAAAACCCAUCUUAGUCCGGAUUGCAGUCUGCAACUCGACUGCAUGAAGUCGGAAUCGCUAGUAAUCGCGAAUCAGCAAUGUCGCGGUGAAUACGUUUCCGGGCCUUGUACACACCGCCCGUCACACCAUGGGAGUGGGUUGCUCCAGUAAGUGGCUAGUCUAACCUCGGAAGACGUCACCACGA